rnacentral:rRNA from 1 species
UGGGGAAUUUUGGACAAUGGGCGAAAGCCUGAUCCAGCAAUGCCGCGUGUGUGAAGAAGGCCUUCGGGUUGUAAAGCACUUUUGUCCGGAAAGAAAUCCUUGGCUCUAAUACAGUCGGGGGAUGACGGUACCGGAAGAAUAAGCACCGGCUAACUACGUGCCAGCAGCCGCGGUAAUACGUAGGGUGCAAGCGUUAAUCGGAAUUACUGGGCGUAAAGCGUGCGCAGGCGGUUUGCUAAGACCGAUGUGAAAUCCCCGGGCUCAACCUGGGAACUGCAUUGGUGGCUGGCAGGCUAGAGUAUGGCAGAGGGGGGCUAGAAUUCCACGUUAGCAGUGAAAUGCGUAGNGAUGUGGAGGAAUACCGAUGGCGAAGGCAGCCCCUGGGCCAAUACUGACGCUCAUGCACGAAAGCGUGGGGAGCAAACAGGAUUAGAUACCCUGGUAGUCCACGCCCUAAACGAUGUCAACUAGUUGUUGGGGAUUCAUUUCCUUAGUAACGUAGCUAACGCGUGAAGUUGACCGCCUGGGGAGUAACCGG